UGUUAAGGAUUUUAUUAAGUUGGCGACUUUCGUGAAGUUUUGGACGGAGUCUCGAAGAGUUAGAAGACGAAUGUUAAAGAAAGAAUUGGAGUUUGGCGAUCAAAGAUCCUUGGGAUCUCAGGUAUGAUUAUAAAUAAUUUGUGGUGAGGUUUUAUUAUUAAAAGGUGUUUAGAAGACUUGGUUUCUAUUUUUGUUAAUCAAAUUAAAGUUUUCUAAAAAUCUCAGG
rnacentral:lncRNA from 1 species